rnacentral:rRNA from 1 species
UACAGAGGUCUCAAGCGUUGUUCGGAUUCAUUGGGCGUAAAGGGUGCGUAGGUGGCGCCGUAAGUCGGGUGUGAAAUUUCGGAGCUUAACUCCGAAACUGCAUUCGAUACUGCGGUGCUUGAGGACUGGAGAGGAGACUGGAAUUCAUGGUGUAGCAGUGAAAUGCGUAGAGAUCAUGAGGAAGGCCAGUGACGAAGGCGGGUCUCUGGACAGUUCCUGACACUGAGGCACGAAGGCCAGGGGAGCAAACGGG